GAGAAGGAUUAGAGGGAUGAGGAAGUGCGGCCAUGUUGGAGGAAGUGUAACAGUGGGGUGUGCUGUGUGGAUCCGGAUGUAGAACUCUCAGCUAAUUCUCUAGCACCAAGUAUCGCUGGAUGCUACCAUGCUCCCUGCCAGGAUGAUAAAGGACUAAGCUUUGAAAGUGCUCAUUUUAUGUGUGAACCUGAUUCUCAGCGUGGGAAAAAUACUAGCACCAAAUGCACGGACUGAAAGGUAUGAAGAUCUGUGGCAAGAGGCAUGUCAGAGAAUAAGCCGAAGAAUUCUGUUAUUUUAUAGCAUUAGAUCUUCUUUCCUGUCAAAUCUGUCACUUGUGCCCUGACUCUGGCUGGGAUGAAGAGAACAAGAUGGAAAUAAAGAUAUGGAAUGCAGUGUACACUAUGUGUUUCUGCACUAACUUCCUGAAUGACUUCCUGGAUUGUGUUGCUGGAGAUGGCUCUCUGUGGACUCCUGUAUCAAUGUUUCCCUGGCAUGGGGGCAGAGCAGUCUCAGUGGUAUGUUUCUAGCUGCUGUCCCAGCCUAAAGGAUUUAAUUAUGCGUGAAGAGUUGAAACUGGAUUAUUUCUUGUUUCUUGAAUGUUGUAUGUUCCAGGCUUUGAGCCUUAGCCUACCUGAAACUCUUUCUUGCUAUCUACAGACAACCUUAUGUUUCUGGGGUCAUCUCAAAUGCUGUUCUUUCUAUAAAAUAUUUGUCCUA
rnacentral:lncRNA from 1 species